rnacentral:tRNA from 1 species
GCCGGGGUAGCCAAGCGGAUUACGGCGCAGGCCUUGAGAGUCUGUGACUCUUUGAGUCGCGGGGGUUCGAAUCCCUCUCCCGGCG